AUGAAUGGUUUUUAUUCAAGGUACUUCGCCAUUUCCAAAAAAGACGGUGGCAUAAGACCCAUUUUGGACUUAAGAACACUCAACACUUACCUUUGUCCCCGCCGCUUCCAGAUGGUGACAUUGGAAUCAAUAAUCCACCUGCUGCACAAAAACAACUGGUUUGUGGUAACAGAUCGGAAAGAUGCCUAUUUCCACAUAACCAUUCACCCCAGUCAUUGCAAGUUCCUGUGGUUCAUAUUUCAAAACAAUGUCUACCAGUUCCUAGCUCUACCAUUUGGACUUUCGACAGCUCCGCGCACAUUUACGAAAUAUAUGGCCCCGGUAGCAGCAUACCUGCGUCUGAAUGGGGUGAAAAUCUACCCUUAUAUAGACGACUGGCUAGAGGUCUCAUCUUCCAGAAGCCAAGCCUUGAAGGACACAAGUUUCAUUCUCCAUGUUUUACACAACCUGGGUCUUACAGUAAACCGCAAGAAAUCCCGCCUCAUACCUUCACAGGUUGUAGAUUACAUCGGAGCCACAAUAGAUGCCACCGUGGGUUGCAUCUUCCUUCCAGCAGAACGCAUUAAAAAGCUGCAAAAGGCCAUCAAGAAAUUUUGUCCGAAGGCCUGGGUGUCUGCAAAACAUGCUCAGCACCUGCUAGGGCUGAUGGCAUCCACGACACCUGCCCUAGCCCACGCUUGUCUCAAACUCAGGUCUCUUCAAAUUUGGCUCCUCUCACUGUUCAAUGUGCUUUCGGAUCACCCCAAGAAGCAUCUCAAGGUGACCCGGGAGCUAGCACAGCAGCUUCGGUGGUGGACUUUCAUACCUCACCUCAGGAUAGGCCGACCAUUUACACCCCUUCGACUGACUGUGCAGGUGACCACCGAUGCAAGUCCCACAGGAUGGGGAACACAUUGCGGGCAGCAUCGCAUUCAUGCUCUAUGGUCAUCACAAGAACGAAUUCUCCACAUAAAUCAUCUGGAGUUAAUUGCCGCCAUAAAGGCCUUCAAAUCCUUCCUUCCACUGAUAUAUGGUUGUGGUGUUCAGGUAGUGACAGACAACACCACGACCAUGUAUUAUAUAAACAAACAAGGAGGAACCCACUCCCAGUUGCUUUUUUACCUGGCCGUGCACCUCUGGGAGUGGUGCUGUCACAGACAAAUCUUUCCGGUAGCAGUCCACCUUGCAACAGGGGACAAUAUAUUGGCAGACGAACUGAGCCGUCGCACCACCCAAACACACGAAUGGGAGCUCCACAACAGGACAUUUGUAGAUCUGUGUCGUCUUUGGGCAACUCCACAAGUAGACAUCUUUGCCACUUACCGCAACAAGAAGUGCCAAUUAUACGUGUCGCGAGGAGGUCUAGGAAUCGAUUCUCUGGGAGACGCGUUUAUGAUACCAUGGACAUUCCGCCUUAUGUACCUGUUCCCACUGCCCCCUCUGGUUCAGGGAACUCUAGUGAAGCUUCAUCAGGAGUCAGGGGAUGCAAUUCUGAUUGCGCCCUUUUGGCCUCCACAACCGUGGUUUCCUCUGCUGUUGGAAAUGGCCACGGAAUACAUGACACUUCGCCUUUCACCAUACCUGUUGUCACAGAGUAUGGGCGCAGUCCUUCACCCAGAACCAGAGACUUUACAUCGGACCGUGUGGAGGAUAUCCCAGAGAUUAGAGAAGUCCUAG
ensembl:lncRNA